rnacentral:rRNA from 1 species
AGUGAACGCUGGCGGUAGGCCUAACACAUGCAAGUCGAACGGCAGCACAGUAAGAGCUUGCUCUUACGGGUGGCGAGUGGCGGACGGGUGAGGAAUCCAUCGGAAUCUCCUUUUUCGUGGGGGAUCACGUAGGGACACUUACGCUAAUACCGCAUACGACCUACGGGUGAAAGCAGGGGAUCUUCGGACCUUGCGCUAUUGAAUGAGCCGAUGUCGGAUUAGCUAGUUGGCGGGGUAAAGGCCCACCAAGGCGACGAUCCGUAGCUGGUCUGAGAGGAUGAUCAGCCACACUGGAACUGAGACACGGUCCAGACUCCUACGGGAGGCAGCAGUGGGGAAUAUUGGACAAUGGGCGCAAGCCUGAUCCAGCCAUACCGCGUGGGUGAAGAAGGCCUUCGGGUUGUAAAGCACUUUUGUUGGGAAAGAAAAGAAGCAGGUUAAUACCCCGCUGUUUUGACGGUACCCAAAGAAUAAGCACCGGCUAACUUCGUG